rnacentral:rRNA from 1 species
UACGGGGGGGGUAAGCGUUGUUCGGAAUUACUGGGCGUAAAGGGCUCGUAGGCGGCCAACUAAGUCAUACGUGAAAUCCCUCAGCUUAACUGGGGAACUGCGUGUGAUACUGGAUGGCUUGGAUUGGGAGAGGGAUGCGGAAUUCCAGGUGUAGCGGUGAAAUGCGUAGAUAUCUGGAGGAACACCGGUGGCGAAGGCGGCGAUCCUGGACCAAUAUUGACGCUGAGGAGCGAAAGCCAGGGGAGCAAACGGG